CAAUAGAUAGCCUGUAACUCCAGGUUGUUGUAGUCUUGUGUUAUUAUCAAUAGAUAGCCUGUAACUCCAGGUUGUUGUAGUCUUGUGUUAUUAUCAAUAGAUAGCCUGUAACUCCAGGUUGUUGUAGUCUUGUGUUAUUAUCAAUAGAUAGCCUGUAACUCCAGGUUGUUGUAGUCUUGUGUUAUUAUCAAUAGAUAGCCUGUUGUAGUCUUGUGUUAUUAUCAAUAGAUAGCCUGUUGUAGUCUUGUGUUAUUAUCAAUAGAUAGCCUGUAACUCCAGGUGGUUGUAGUCUUGUGUUAUUAUCAAUAGAUAGCCUGUAACUCCAGGUUGUUGUAGUCUUGUGUUAUUAUCAAUAGAUAGCCUGUAACUCCAGGUUGUUGUAGUCUUGUGUUAUUAUCAAUAGAUAGCCUGUAACUCCAGGUUGUUGUAGUCUUGUGUUAUUAUCAAUAGAUAGCCUGUAACUCCAGGUGGUUGUAGUCUUGUGUUAUUAUCAAUAGAUAGCCUGUAACUCCAGUUUGUUGUAGUCUUGUGUUAUUAUCAAUAGAUAGCCUGUAACUCCAGGUUGUUGUAGUCUUGUGUUAUUAUCAAU